GCCAAAUUAAGGUGAAACCGCGAAAGGCUCAUUAAAUCAGUUAUGGUUCCUUAGAUCGUACCCACAUUUACUUGGAUAACUGUGGUAAUUCUAGAGCUAAUACAUGCAAAUAGAGCUCCGACCGGAGACGGAAGGAGCGCUUUUAUUAGAUCAAAACCAAUCGGCGGCGGGUCAAACCGUCGUCGUACUCUUUGGUGACUCUGAAUAACUUAUUGCUGAUCGCACGGUCUAGCACCGGCGACGCAUCUUUCAAAUGUCUGCCUUAUCAACUGUCGAUGGUAGGUUCUGCGCCUACCAUGGUUGUAACGGGUAACGGGGAAUCAGGGUUCGAUUCCGGAGAGGGAGCCUGAGAAACGGCUACCACAUCCAAGGAAGGCAGCAGGCGCGCAAAUUACCCACUCCCGGCACGGGGAGGUAGUGACGAAAAAUAACGAUACGGAACUCAUCCGAGGCUCCGUAAUCGGAAUGAGUACACUCUAAACCCUUUAACGAGGAUCAAUUGGAGGGCAAGUCUGGUGCCAGCAGCUGCGGUAAUUCCAGCUCCAAUAGCGUAUAUUAAAGUUGUUGCGGUUAAAAAGCUCGUAGUCGAAUCUGUGUCCCGCGCCGCCGGUUCAUCGCUCGCGGUGUCUAACUGGCGUGUCCGCGGGACGUCCUGCCGGUGGGCUUAGCUUUUCGGAGCGGCCCAACUUGAAAUCCCACCGCGGUGCUCUUCAUUGAGUGUCGAGGUGGGCCGGCACGUUUACUUUGAACAAAUUAGAGUGCUUAAAGCAGGCUAAAAUUUCGCCUGAAUACUGUGUGCAUGGAAUAAUGGAAUAGGACCUCGGUUCUAUUUUGUUGGUUUUCGGAACCCCGAGGUAAUGAUUAAUAGGAACGGAUGGGGGCAUUCGUAUUGCGACGUUAGAGGUGAAAUUCUUGGAUCGUCGCAAGACGGACAGAAGCGAAAGCAUUUGCCAAAAACGCUUUCAUUGAUCAAGAACGAAAGUUAGAGGUUCGAAGGCGAUCAGAUACCGCCCUAGUUCUAACCAUAAACGAUGCCAGCUAGCGAUCCGCCGACGUUCCUCCGAUGACUCGGCGGGCAGCUUCCGGGAAACCAAAGCUUUUGGGUUCCGGGGGAAGUAUGGUUGCAAAGCUGAAACUUAAAGGAAUUGACGGAAGGGCACCACCAGGAGUGGAGCCUGCGGCUUAAUUUGACUCAACACGGGAAACCUCACCAGGCCCGGACACCGGAAGGAUUGACAGAUUGAGAGCUCUUUCUUGAUUCGGUGCGUGGUGGUGCAUGGCCGUUCUUAGUUGGUGGAUCGAUUUGUCUGGUUAAUUCCGAUAACGAACGAGACUCUAGCCUGCUAACUAUAUAUAUUU
rnacentral:rRNA from 1 species